rnacentral:rRNA from 1 species
AGAAUCAACGCUGGCGGCGUGCCUAACACAUGCAAGUCGAACGAGAAAGUGGAGCAAUCCAUGAGUAAAGUGGCGACCGGGUGAGUAACACGUGACUAACCUACCCUAGAGUGGGGAAUAACCUCGGGAAACCGGGGCUAAUACCGCAUAACAUCAUCGGGUGUAAAUUCCUGAUGAUCAAAGGAGCAAUUCGCUCAAGGAGGGGGUCGCGGCUGAUUAGUUAGUUGGUGAGGUAACGGCUCACCAAGACUUAGAUCAGUAUCCGGCCUGAGAGGGCGCACGGACACACUGGAACUGAAACACGGUCCAGACUCCUACGGGAGGCAGCAGUGGGGAAUUUUGCGCAAUGGGGGAAACCCUGACGCAGCAACGCCGCGUGGAGGAUGAAGUCCCUUGGGAUGUAAACUCCUUUCGAUCGGGACGAUUAUGACGGUACCGGAAGAAGAAGCGACCGGCUAACUCUGCGCCAGCAGCCGCGGUAA